rnacentral:rRNA from 1 species
UACGUAGGGGGCUAGCGUUGUCCGGAAUCAUUGGGCGUAAAGGGUCCUGAGGUGGUUUGCUAAGUCUACUGUGAAAGAUCAGGGCUCAACCCUGAAGAUGCGGUGGAAACUGGCAGGCUAGAAUACGGUAGGGGCAGGGGGAAUUCCCGGUGUAGCGGUGAAAUGCAUAGAUAUCGGGAAGAACACCAAAGGCGAAGGCACCCUGCUGGGCCGAUAUUGACACUGACAGACGAAAGCUAGGGGAGCGAAUGGG